UGUUUGAUGUUCUAACGUGGACCCGUGAUCCGGGUUGCGGACAGUGUCUGGUGGGUAGUUUGACUGGGGCGGUCUCCUCCUAAAGAGUAACGGAGGAGCACGAAGGUUGGCUAAUCCUGGUCGGACAUCAGGAGGUUAGUGCAAUGGCAUAAGCCAGCUUGACUGCGAGCGUGACGGCGCGAGCAGGUGCGAAAGCAGGUCAUAGUGAUCCGGUGGUUCUGAAUGGAAGGGCCAUCGCUCAACGGAUAAAAGGUACUCCGGGGAUAACAGGCUGAUACCGCCCAAGAGUUCAUAUCGACGGCGGUGUUUGGCACCUCGAUGUCGGCUCAUCACAUCCUGGGGCUGAAGUAGGUCCCAAGGGUAUGGCUGUUCGCCAUUUAAAGUGGUACGCGAGCUGGGUUUAGAACGUCGUGAGACAGUUCGGUCCCUAUCUGCCGUGGGCGCUGGAGAACU
rnacentral:rRNA from 1 species